rfam:Chlorocebus sabaeus isolate 1994-021 chromosome 5, whole genome shotgun sequence.
GUAAAUAUAGUUUAACCAAAACACUAGAUUGUGAAUCUGACUAUAGAAGCUCAUUGCUCCUUAUUUACC